GACGAACGCUGGCGGCGUGCUUAACACAUGCCAGUCGAACGGAAAGGCCCUGCUUUUGUGGGGUGCUCGAGUGGCGAACGGGUGAGUAACACGUGAGUAACCUGCCCUUGACUUUGGGAUAACUUCAGGAAACUGGGGCUAAUACCGGAUAGGAGCUCCUGCUGCAUGGUGGGGGUUGGAAAGUUUCGGCGGUUGGGGAUGGACUCGCGGCUUAUCAGCUUGUUGGUGGGGUAGUUGCUUACCAAGGCUUUGACGGGUAGCCGGCCUGAGAGGGUGACCGGCCACAUUGGGACUGAGAUACGGCCCAGACUCCUACGGGAGGCAGCAGUGGGGAAUAUUGCACAAUGGGCGGAAGCCUGAUGCAGCAACGCCGCGUGCGGGAUGACGGCCUUCGGGUUGUAAACCGCUUUCGCCUGUGACGAAGCGUGAGUGACGGUAAUGGGUAAAGAAGCACCGGCUAACUACGUG
rnacentral:rRNA from 1 species